rnacentral:miRNA from 1 species
GGGUGAGAUUGAGAGAGAGGAUGAGAAGGAGGAGUAACAAAAGUGAAAACAAAAACUUGAAAGUGAAAACAAUUUCAAAUAAAUUUCAGUUUUUAGUUUUUAUUUUUUUCACUUCUGUUACUUCUUCCUCCCAUCCUUCCCUCUCAUCUUUCUUC